GCUCAGGACGAACGCUGGCGGCGUGCCUAAUACAUGCAAGUCGAGCGGACAGAUGGGAGCUUGCUCCCUGAUGUUAGCGGCGGACGGGUGAGUAACACGUGGGUAACCUGCCUGUAAGACUGGGAUAACUCCGGGAAACCGGGGCUAAUACCGGAUGGUUGUUUGAACCGCAUGGUUCAGACAUAAAAGGUGGCUUCGGCUACCACUUACAGAUGGACCCGCGGCGCAUUAGCUAGUUGGUGAGGUAACGGCUCACCAAGGCGACGAUGCGUAGCCGACCUGAGAGGGUGAUCGGCCACACUGGGACUGAGACACGGCCCAGACUCCUACGGGAGGCAGCAGUAGGGAAUCUUCCGCAAUGGACGAAAGUCUGACGGAGCAACGCCGCGUGAGUGAUGAAGGUUUUCGGAUCGUAAAGCUCUGUUGUUAGGGAAGAACAAGUGCCGUUCAAAUAGGGCGGCACCUUGACGGUACCUAACCAGAAAGCCACGGCUAACUACGUGCCAGCAGCCGCGGUAAUACGUAGGUGGCAAGCGUKKUYCGGAAUUAUUGGGCGUWAAGGGCUCGCAGGCGGUUUCUUAAGUCUGAUGUGAAAGCCCCCGGCUCAACCGGGGAGGGUCAUUGGAAACUGGGGAACUUGAGUGCAGAAGAGGAGAGUGGAAUUCCACGUGUAGCGGUGAAAUGCGUAGAGAUGUGGAGGAACACCAGUGGCGAAGGCGACUCUCUGGUCUGUAACUGACGCUGARGAGCGAAAGCGYGGGGAGCGAACAGGAUUAGAUACCCUGGUAGUCCACGCCGUAAACGAUGAGUGCUAAGUGUUAGGGGGUUUCCGCCCCUUAGUGCUGCAGCUAACGCAUUAAGCACUCCGCCUGGGGAGUACGGUCGCAAGACUGAAACUCAAAGGAAUUGACGGGGGCCCGCACAAGCGGUGGAGCAUGUGGUUUAAUUCGAAGCAACGCGAAGAACCUUACCAGGUCUUGACAUCCUCUGACAAUCCUAGAGAUAGGACGUCCCCUUCGGGGGCAGAGUGACAGGUGGUGCAUGGUUGUCGUCAGCUCGUGUCGUGAGAUGUUGGGUUAAGUCCCGCAACGAGCGCAACCCUUGAUCUUAGUUGCCAGCAUUCAGUUGGGCACUCUAAGGUGACUGCCGGUGACAAACCGGAGGAAGGUGGGGAUGACGUCAAAUCAUCAUGCCCCUUAUGACCUGGGCUACACACGUGCUACAAUGGACAGAACAAAGGGCAGCGAAACCGCGAGGUUAAGCCAAUCCCACAAAUCUGUUCUCAGUUCGGAUCGCAGUCUGCAACUCGACUGCGUGAAGCUGGAAUCGCUAGUAAUCGCGGAUCAGCAUGCCGCGGUUGAAUACGUUCCCGGGCCUUGUACACACCGCCCGUCACACCACGAGAGUUUGUAACACCCGAAGUCGGUGAGGUAACCUUUAUGGAGCCANCCCCCAAAGUGGGACAGAUGAUUG
rnacentral:rRNA from 1 species